AGGAAACUGGGCAAAAGAGGCCUGGGAUUUGGACCCUGAGAGCCAUAGCACCUCAGGUGCUGGGGUUCAAGAUCUGUGUUGGUCUGGGGGGUCCCAGAUUCCAGGUCCCAGGAUCACAGGAUCAGGCCAGCUGCCCGGAGCUGCAGGCAAGUCCACAUUACAGACUUGCAGCAUCUUGGGGUCUGCCCUGGGGCCCAUCUUUCUGCUGUGACGCUGGAAGCUCAGGGAGGGUGAGACUUGGCCUUGGGCCUUGCUAAGGGUUGCUCCAUGUACAGGAGGCCUUCCAGCCUUAGCAGGUGCUGGGAGCCGCUCUGGGGUCUGAGGAGAUCCCUAUUCCAUCUCCAGGGCAGCUGAUGGUAGCCUCAUCCAGCCUAGGCCAAAUUGGGGGACUCCAGGAGGGAUUCAGGAGAGACAGUUCAUUCCUAAGAAUGGGAAGCAGAGAGAACUCCUAGUGAAAUGGGCUGGGGACACACACUGAGAAGAUGGAGCUUUCUUUUGGGAUGCGUCUCCCUGUUUGGGUGUGUGGGUGUGAAUGGGGUAGCCUCGCCUUGAGGGAAGAUUGCAGAGGAGGAUGUGGUCCUGGAGACUUUCGCUGAAGGGAGGACCCAGAAUAGGAAGCGCCACCUGCAGACUUGGCUCCAGGGAUUAUAAAUGAGCUGGAAGGGCUUGAGAUCCUGAUGUGGCCUUAUCUGG
rnacentral:lncRNA from 1 species